GACGAACGCUGGCGGCGUGCUUAACACAUGCAAGUCGAACGGAAAGGCCCUGCUUUUGUGGGUUGCUCGAGUGGCGAACGGGUGAGUAACACGUGAGUAACCUGCCCUUGACUUUGGGAUAACUUCAGGAAACUGCGGCUAAUACCGGAUAUGAUCUCCUGCUGCAUGGUGGGGGUUGGAAAGUUUCGGCGGUUGUGGAUGGACUCGCGGCUUAUCGGCUUGAUGGUGGGGUAGUGGCUUACCAAGGCUUUGACGGGUAGCCGGCCUGAGAGGGUUACCGGGGACAUUGGGACUGAGAGACGGAGCAGACUGCUACGGGAGGCAGCAGGGGGGAAUAUGGCACAAUGGGCGGAAGCCUGAGACAGAAACGCCGCGUGCGGGAUGACGGCCUUCGGGUUGUAAACCGAUUUCGACUGUGACGAAGAGUGAGUGACGGUAAUGAGUAAAGAAGCACCGGCUAACUACGUG
rnacentral:rRNA from 1 species